GAUGAAGAACGUAGCGAAAUGCGAUAAGUAAUGUGAAUUGCAGAAUUCAGUGAAUCAUCGAAUCUUUGAACGCACAUUGCGCCCCCUGGUAUUCCGGGGGGCAUGCCUGUUCGAGCGUCAUUUCAACCCUCAAGCUCUGCUUGGUAUUGAGUCCAUGUCAGCAAUGGCAGGCUCCAAAAUCAGUGGCGGCGCCGCUGGGUCCUGAACGUAGUAAUAUCUCUCGUUACAGGUGCUCGGCGUGCUUCUGCCAAAACCCCAAUUUUUCUAUGGUUGACCUCGGAUCAGGUAGGGAUACCCGCUGAACUUAAGCAUAUAAUAACGGAGGA
rnacentral:misc_RNA from 1 species